rnacentral:rRNA from 1 species
AUUGAACGCUGGCGGCAUGCCUUACACAUGCAAGUCGAACGGCAGCACGGGAGCAAUCCUGGUGGCGAGUGGCGAACGGGUGAGUAAUAUAUCGGAACGUGCCCAGUCGUGGGGAUAACGUAGCGAAAGCUACGCUAAUACCGCAUACGAUCUAUGGAUGAAAGCGGGGGAUCGCAAGACCUCGCGCGAUUGGAGCGGCCGAUAUCAGAUUAGGUAGUUGGUGAGGUAAAGGCUCACCAAGCCGACGAUCUGUAGCUGGUCUGAGAGGACGACCAGCCACACUGGGACUGAGACACGGCCCAGACUCCUACGGGAGGCAGCAGUGGGGAAUUUUGGACAAUGGGCGCAAGCCUGAUCCAGCAAUGCCGCGUGCAGGAUGAAGGCCUCGGUUGUAAC